rnacentral:rRNA from 1 species
CGAGCGCACCUUCGGGUGAGCGGCGGACGGGUGAGUAACGCGUGGGAACGUGCCCUUUGGUUCGGAACAACACAGGGAAACUUGUGCUAAUACCGAAUGUGCCCUUCGGGGGAAAGAUUUAUCGCCAUUGGAGCGGCCCGCGUUGGAUUAGCUAGUUGGUGGGGUAAAGGCCCACCAAGGCGACGAUCCAUAGCUGGUCUGAGAGGAUGAUCAGCCACACUGGGACUGAGACACGGCCCAGACUCCUACGGGAGGCAGCAGUAGGGAAUCUUGCGCAAUGGGCGAAAGCCUGACGCAGCCAUGCCGCGUGAAAUGAUGAAGGUCUUAGGAUUGUAAAAUUCUUUCACCGGGGAAGAUAAUGACGGUACCCGGAGAAGAAGCCCCGGCUAACUUCGUGCCAGCAGCCGCGGUAAUACGAAGGGGGCUAGCGUUGCUCGGAAUUACUGGGCGUAAAGGGCGCGUAGGCGGACAGUUUAGUCAGAGGUGAAAGCCCAGGGCUCAACCUUGGAACUGCCUUUGAUACUGGCUGUCUUGAGUUCGGGAGAGGUGAGUGGAAUGCCGAGUGUAGAGGUGAAAUUCGUAGAUAUUCGGCGGAACACCAGUGGCGAAGGCGACUCACUGGCCCGA